rnacentral:lncRNA from 1 species
GCUUUUUGUGAGAUUUGUAAGUAAGACCUCCACUAUCGCGCACGGUUGAACUAGGCAAGUAGAUGAUUUUUUAUCCAACAUCUACAGUCGGGCCAAGCGAAGACAAGUUGUGCAUAGAGUGGUUGAAUAGUGUGUUUCAAUGGAAAAUGAUUCUAACUGGCCAGCCAGUCAAAUCUCAUCCACAAUUAAGCAUUGUCGAUCUUCUUCUU